CAUCCGAAAAAUUAGGGGAUAUCUGCAUUAAUACCAUCCUGUUCACAUCAUCAUCAACAUCACCGUCAUCAGCAGCAGCAGUCAUGAUCUCUCGUUCUCUCCCACUGGUUCUGCUGGUUCUCACCUGCCUUUAGUCCAUUGCAAAGACCCAGAACUCAGAUGUAUCAGACUCAUGCUGUUCCAGAUACUAUGAGAUUCAAAUCCCUAUCAGAUUCAUUACAGGGUAUAAAGUAACAGACCCUCAGUGUGCACAACCAGGAGUCAUCUUCAUUCUGAAGAACAGCCGUCAGAUGUGUGUAGACCCUGAACUCGAGUGGGUGCAAAACUUCUUAAGACGAUUUGACUGGAUAGAUCAAAGUAUGAUCGAAACUCCAUAGAGUUUAAAAUCCUCUUUCCAAUGAAUAAUUCAUAUUCAUACAAAAGUACUUUUAUGUAGUUAAGCAGGAGGAAUAGAUUUUUAAUUAUUUAUCAGAACAUACUGAUACUAGCAUGAUUUAUCUGAUUUAUUCUUCGGUUCUGCAGAGACGCAGGUACUUAAAACAAUGUUGUUAGACACAAAUGACUUCAAAUUCUUUUCAAUUUACUUUGUCUCAACUGAAUAAAAAUACAUUUUUACAAAUCAAAUUUCUACAUGUAUUGAAAAAUAAAAAAUACACUUUUAACUUUUAACAUCUGAUUAAUACCCAAAAUAUCAUUAGAAGUAUUUAGAUGAACGUAAUUUUUCACAUCUUUAAAAAGUCAAAAUAGUUUAUAACCUUGAACAGUUGCUUGACUUUAAGAUUGUCUUAUAUUACUAUGAAAUGUGUGUAAAUUACUGAAAAAGUCAAGCCUGUUUCACAGUCAUAUAUUUAACCAUUUUUAUUCAAAUCCAUGAAAGACAUUAUCAGUAGUGAAUGUGCACUUUAAUACAGUAAUAAAAAAGUGUAUUACAGUGUAAUAAAACAAUAAAUGCUUAUAAAUUGGGCAAUAAAAUUUGUUUGUCCGAUUAGGUGCAUCCAAAACAAAACAAUGAGAAAAAAACCCCACAUCACUCAAAUUUCAGAAUUGUAAAAUUUUUGCUGACACAAAAGCAAACAUAGUAGCCAUUUGUUUUUCAAAAUUAAAAGUCCUUUUGACCAACUGUUACUGUUUUACAAACACUGAAACGAUUCAGCUGAUAGAUACUGAUGAACCUUAAAAAAAAACUACGAGAAAAGACCUAGACAACAACAAAACUGUUGGGGCACCUUAUCUGUACGUUUCACUCCUGUAGAUUUGAGAAGAGGGUCUGCAGCGUUUGGCGGAAUCUCCCUGUUGUCUAUGUCCAUGAUGAUUCUCUAAAAGUCUACAAAGGUAAAUUAAGGUUAAUGAAACAUUUAAAACCAUCACCUUCAUGGAGUCCAAAAAUGGCCAUGGUGGUUUGUGCAAGUUCCUUCUGUGCUUUAUAUCUCUGGCCAAUCAAAAAUAUAUACAAUCACAGAGAAACUGAGGGACUGCAAGUUCAAGUAUAAGUGUUUUAUUUGUUUCCAACAAGGAAUUUUUUUAAAUAGGAAUAUCUCACAGCUUCACCCAGAUACAUGACGGGGCACCUCAACAUGUACUUUCAUCUGAGGUCUAAAUCCAGACUUAUAGCUUUCACUGCAACAAAACAAUACUUCAUUAAUUAGGACAAAUCAAUGGUUCCCAAAGGUUUUACAUUUCAGAACUACUCAAACAAUAAAACAAUACAAUUUGAGAACCACAAUUCAAAUGCACCAAAUACCUGAUCCACAUAUUUAAUCAAUUCUCUGGUUUACUCAUGUACAGCUUCACCUUUGCUCUGAAUAACUUGGAGACCUGAAGAAGCACAACCUAUACAAAUAAUCCAAAAAUCUUGCUUGUAAUAGCUGUGAUAAGCAGGAACAGAACAUCAGAAGCUCUUUUAGAAUUUCACAAAUACACAGCAGCAUUUUGAUAAACAUGAGUUUCUUAAAUAUUCAUCACAAAAAUGUAGUUUCUGUAAUCUUUAAAGACUUUCCACAUCAAUUACUGUAAAUCUGAUGUAAUAGUUUCUCGAGCCACCUGAUACUGUAAAUUGUUUAGCAUCAGUUAUGACAAUGUAGUUUAUAUCUCUUCUUCCUAUAUAGCACUUUUCACAAUGAACACUGUGGCAAGGAAAAGACUUUAAGAUGAAUGUAUUGUGAGAACUAACAAAGUUCUCACUACUAAACUGUGAUGAAACACUCUUUUCAGAUAUCUGAUUUGUUGAUGUAAAUGGUAAAUUCUCCACACUCUAUGAGGUAAAGUUUGGUGUUCCUCAAGGAUCUGUCUUAGGCCCACU